rnacentral:lncRNA from 1 species
UAUAAUAUUCUCUCGUGUCUAAGAUGGGAGUUAGAUAACUAAAGUUUUAAGAAACGACUUCUUUUAUUAUAAGGAAAGGGAUUACAAAGAGAUGAUUUUUAGUGUGAACACUCUUAUAGGUUUUCUCUCUUUCUCUUGAUGAGAUCAUCUUUUACAAAUGCUACUCUACCCUUGUAUUUAUAAUAGAGAUGACCGACAUAUUAGAGAAUUCUAGAGUACUCUCUCAUCAUUAUCUUAAUCUAGAUAUUUUCUUCUCUUCUUCAUAAUUCUAGAUUAUUCUAAUUUAGUCAUAAUUAUCACAUGCUUAUUUCUUGUCUUUGGCUAAAGAGAGAAAUAUCCAGCUAAGGAGGGAAAUAUCCAACAAAUCUCCCCCUUCCCGACUUAGCUUGAAGUUAAUCACGAUGCCGGUGCCUUCACAACAAUCUUCAAACUUCUUGAUUGGUAACACCUUGGUCAUAAAGUCUGACCAGUUUUCGUCUGUGUGUACCUUGUCGAGAUGUAGGAGCUUCUUUUCAAGAACUUCUCGGAUCCAAUGAUGUCGAGUAUCGAUGUGCUUUGAGCGGGAGUGAAAAGUUGAAUUCUUUGCUAGGUGAAUAAUGCUCUGGUUGUCACAUAGCAAAAUGUAUUUGUCUUGCUUUACUCCUAACUCAAGCAAGAAGUUCUUCAUCCAUAACAUCUCCUUGCAGGCUUCGGUUGCUGCGAUGUACUCUGCUUCAGUAGUAGACAAGGCAACACACUUCUGUAGUUUUGAUUGCCAGGAAACAGCUCCCCCUGCAAAGGUAAUUACAUACCCUGAAGUUGAUUUCCUGGAGUCUUUAUCACCGGCCCAGUCUGCAUCAGUGUAACCCUUCAGCUCAAGUUUUCCAUUACCAAAGCAUAUGCACCUUUUAGUCGUGCCUUGUAGAUAGCGGAGAAUCCAUUUAACUGCUUUCCAAUGCUCCUUUCCUGGAUUGGCUAGAAAGCGGCUAACAACUCCUACUGCAUGGGCUAAGUCUGGUCUUGUACAUACCAUAGCAUACAUUAGACUGCCAACAGCUGAUGCAUACGGGAUACUCUUCAUUUCCUCCUUUUCUUUCUCAUUUGUUGGACUUUGCUCUGAGCUUAGCUUGAAAUGUCCAGCAAGAGGAGUGCGUACUGGUUUUGCCUUGUGCAUAUUGAAUCUCUCCAAUACUUUCUCAAUAUAUCCUUCUUGGGAUAACCAUAACACCUUCUUGGAUCUAUCACGAGUGAUAUUCAUCCCAAGGAUCUUUCUUGCUGGCCCCAAAUCUUUCAUAGCAAACCAUUUGCCAAGAUCUUCUUUCAGAGCAGCUAUCUUGAUGGGAUCUUGUCCCACGAUCAACAUGUCAUCAACAUAGAGUAAAAGUAUGAGAAAGUCCCCGACAACGUACCUCUUUAUGAAGACGCAAUGGUCAUUUGUGGUUUUCUUGAAGUUAUGAUCCGUCAUGAAAGAAUCAAACUUCUUGUACCAUUGUCUUGGGGCUUGUUUGAGACCAUAAAGGCUCUUUUUUAAUUUGCAUACCAUAUUUUCUUUUCCUGAGAUCUUGAAUCCUUCAGGUUGCUCCAUGUAUAUCUCCUCUUCAAGGUCACCAUGGAGGAAUGCCGUCUUGACAUCAAGUUGUUCAAUUUCCAAGUCUAGAACAGCUGCUAGACCAAGAACAACUCUGAUGGAGGACAUUUUCACUACCGGAGAGAAAAUCUCGUCAAAUUCUAUUCCUUUCUUCUGGUUGAAUCCUUUCACAACCAACCGCGCUUUGUAUCUAGGCUUCAAGCUGCGAUCUUCAUACUUUAUCCGGUAUACCCAUUUAUUCUUUAAUGCUCUUCUUCCUUUUGGUAAAACUACCAGCUCAUAUGUGUUAUUCUCAUGCAAGGAUUGAAUUUCAUCUUGCAUGGCUUUUAUCCACUCAUCUUUAUGAGUGUCAAGCAUAGCCUCAUCAUAGUUUAGAGGCUCCCCCUCUUCCGUCAGGGUCACAUAUUCAUCUAGAGAGUAUCUUGUGGAUGGUAUCAUGCCUCUGGCCGAUCGUCUUGGCUCAGGCUCUGGAGGGAUGUCAUGCUCUUCUUCUGGAUCUGGUUCUUCUUCUGCUUCAUUUUCAUCACCAUCAUGGUCUUCAGUGGUGGUAUCUUCUUCAGGGUCACCAUUAUUCUCAGAUCCAUCUGCUGAACCUUCAUCUGAUUGGUCGAGGUGUGCAUUUUUGCUAACUCUUAGCUUUGGUUUCUCCGAUCUUUGGAUGUCUUCGAUUGUCUGGUCUUCGAAGAAGAUAACAUCUCUGCUUCUGACUAUCUUUCUAUUUAGCGGAUCCCAAAGCCGAUAGCCGAACUCAUCUCUUGAUGAACCAAGAUAAAUGCACUCUUUGGUCUUGGAGUCUAACUUUGCUCGUUCAUCUUUAGGAAUAUGAACGAAUGCUCUACACCCAAACACUUUCAAGUGGUUGUAGGAGACCUUUCUUCCCGACCAUACUUCCUCCGGAAUUUCUCCAUCCAAUGGAACUGAAGGAGUGAGGUUGAUGAUAUCAACUGCGUUAAUUAUGGCUUCUCCCCAGAAUGACUUCGGUAGUUUUGCAUGAGAGAGCAUACAUCGAACUUUUUCUCCAAUUGUUCGGUUCAUUCUUUCAGCAAUACCAUUCAGUUGUGGUGUCUUGGGCGGUGUCUUCUCCAUCCUGAUUCCAUGAAAUUUGCAGAAUGCCUCGAAGGGACCUCUGUACUCACCACCGUUAUCCGAUCGAACACACUUGAGUUUUCGACCCGUACUCCGUUCUGCUUGGGCUACAAACUCCUUGAAAGCAUUAAGAACUUGAUCUUUUGUCUUCAACAGGUGCACCCAUACUUUUCUUGAGUGGUCAUCUAUAAAGGUGACGAAGUAUGAUGCUCCACCAAUGGAUUUCUCGGACAUGGAGCAUACAUCGGUGUGCACAAGAUCAAGGAUGUGCUUUCUUCUCAUAGGUGGAGAGGUUCUUUGAAAGGCAACUCUAUGUUGCUUUCCAGCUAAGCAAUCCGAACAUGGUUCAAGAGAUGUACCUUUCAUUUCAGGAAGAAGUCUCUUGCGAGAAAGUAUGUUUAGACCUUUCUCACUCAUAUGGCCAAGUCUUCGGUGCCAUAUUUCCAUGUCUUCACUAGCGACAUUCACCUCUUCCUUGCUGAUCUUAGCUUGUGUUACAUAUAGCGAUCCUUCUUUCUUUCCUCGAGCCAUAACCAAACUUUCUUUGGUUAGCUUCCACUUGCCUUUACCAAAGUGACUCUCCAAACCAGCAUCAUCCAAUUUUCCGGUUGAUAUGAGGUUGAGUCUCAUAUCUGGGACAUGUCUUACGUCCUUGAGAAGUAUCUUACAUCCUGUAUUUGAUGUAAGAAUGAUGUCCCCCUUUCCAACAAUCUUGCUUCUUCCUUGAUUCCCCAUUUGAACAUUACCAAAGUCACCACUUCGGUAAGUUGUGAAGAAGCUUCCAUGAGGGGUGACGUGAAAGGAAGCACCGGAGUCGAUAAUCCAUGAAGUAUCGUUAGAUGCAAUGUUUAGGAGAUUGCACUCUCCAACAACAUAUACAUCUUUAUCCUCCUCAGACACAAUGGUGGUGGUUUUAUCAUCAUGUCGUUUUGAGGGAUUGAAUCGGUCUGGCUUGAUAUUUCCCAUUUGUUGAUCUUUUUUUGAAGAAUCGACACUCUAGCUUCCGAUGUCCUGCUUUGCCGCAAUAGUAGCAGGUGACUCUAGGACGUGACUUGGAUCGUCUUCUAGACUGGUCUUGACCUCGGCUUCUGUUGUGUCCACGCACUUCUUCUCUACCUCGUCUUUCUAUGAUGUUUGCCUCUGACAAAGAGCUCGAACUUUGUUCUCUCCUUCUAACUUCUUCAUUUAGAAGGCUAUCACUGACGGUAUCCAUGGUAAGCUUUCCUUCUGGUGCGGAAUUGCUGAGAGUGACAACUAAUGUGUCCCAACUUUCUGGAAGUGAACUGAGAAGUAGAAGGGCUUGCAUCUCGUCUUCGACCUUCAUGUCGACUUUAUUUAGUUGAUUUACAAUUCCCUUGAAAUUGUUCAAGUGCUCCAUCAUGCUUUGACCAUCCUUAUACUCCAGCUUCACUAACCGUCGGGCAAGGAGAGCCUUGUUUCGAGGUGUUUUCUUUUGAAUCAUGGAUUCUAGCUUUGUCCAUAAUUCAAAAGCAUUUGUGUAGGUAGAGACAUGCUCGAAAAGGGAUCGAUCGAUGUACUUACGAAUUACAGCGACCGCCUUUCGAUUCAAAACUUCCCAUGUCUUGUCAUCCUUUCCUUCUGGCUUAUCCUUCAUGAUGAUGGGCUCGUGCAAAUCUUUACAGUAGAGGUGGUCUUCCAUCAUCGGUUUCCAAUAUGAGUAGUUAUCUGUAGUGAGCUUGAACAUGUCACCUUCAACGGUAACGGUCGCCUCCAUCUUGAUACGUACGAGAUACUGAUGCUAUUAGCGAACCUGGCUCUGAUACCAGCUGUAGGGAAAGUUAUCCUUCUACGGGAAACUUAUCCACUAUAAUAUUCUCUCGUGUCUAAGAUGGGAGUUAGAUAACUAAAGUUUUAAGAAACAACUUCUUUUAUUAUAAGGAAAGGGAUUACAAAGAGAUGAUUUUUAGUGUGAACACUCUUAUAGGUUUUCUCUCUUUCUCUUGAUGAGAUCAUCUUUUACAAAUGCUACUCUACCCU